AUCUUUGUGCAGUGGCAGUAUCAUAGCCCGUGAUGUUUAUCCGAGGCUUGAUUAUUGUUAGUUGAAAGCUUUACCCAAUACCUUGCCUUGAUGACUUGAACUGUAGUCAGCUAUGGCAAUUUUUGAUAGUGUCCGUUGAGA